rnacentral:rRNA from 1 species
GCACUCGGUAUUAGCACGUUGAAUGUACGAGUUCCCCAUGGAUCACUGAAGUUAAGCAACGUUGCGAGUGUUGGUAUCCGCAUGGGUGACUAUCUGGGCAAUCGCGGGUUGCUGGCA